ACUUAAGCAUAUCAAUAAGCGGAGGAAAAGAAACCAACAGGGAUUGCCUUAGUAACUGCGAGUGAAGCGGCAAGAGCUCAAAUUUGAAAUCUGGCGCCUUUGGCGUCCGAGUUGUAAUUUGGAGAGGCAUCUUCGGGUGCGGCGCCGGCCUAAGUUCCUUGGAACAGGACGUCAUAGAGGGUGAGAAUCCCGUUCUCGGCUGGCUGUCCGCGUCCAUGUGAAGUGUCUUCGACGAGUCGAGUUGUUUGGGAAUGCAGCUCAAAAUGGGUGGUAAACUCCAUCUAAAGCUAAAUACUGGCGAGAGACCGAUAGCGCACAAGUAGAGUGAUCGAAAGAUGAAAAGCACUUUGAAAAGAGAGUUAAAAAGUACGUGAAAUUGUUGAAAGGGAAGCGCUUGAGACCAGACUCGGCGGGAGGUAUUCAUCGUCCCUUCUGGGGCGUGCACUUGCCUCUCGUCGGGCCAGCAUCGGUUGCGGCGGCGGGAUAAAGACCCGGGGAACGUGGCUGCUCUCGGGCAGUGUUAUAGCCCCGGGUGUCAUGCCGCCUGCUGCGACCGAGGACCGCGCUUCGGCUAGGAUGCUGGCACAAUGGUCUUCAGCGACCCGUCUUGAAACACGGACCAAGGAGUCUAACAUCUAUGCGAGUGUUCGGGUGGAAAACCCUUGCGCGUAAUGAAAGUGAACGGAGGUGUGAAGCCGCAAGGCUGCAACAUCGACCGAUCCUGAUGUCUUCGGAUGGAUUUGAGUAGGAGCAUAGCUGUUGGGACCCGAAAGAUGGUGAACUAUGCCUGAAUAGGGUGAAGCCAGAGGAAACUCUGGUGGAGGCUCGCAGCGGUUCUGACGUGCAAAUCGAUCGUCAAAUUUGGGUAUAGGGGCGAAAGACUAAUCGAACCAUCUAGUAGCUGGUUCCUGCCGAAGUUUCCCUUCAGGAA
rnacentral:rRNA from 1 species